rnacentral:misc_RNA from 1 species
UGCUUCUCCAAAUUUUUAUAUCAAAGAAAUUCUGCCUAAGUUGAAGAAAGCCAAGGUUAUUGGAUUGGUGCUUGCUGAUGGAGGAUGCCUACAGUCAAUUCUUCCACCUAGCAUGUAUGAGUUUCAGAGGCUUCGAUGCAGAGUUGCGUUUCAUGCUCUCCAAUUUAGGCAGGAAAUUCAGUUGCUUGGUCACCAGAUGGUUGAUAGGUUAAGAGCAUGGGGUCAACCUUUCCUUGCAUUUCACCCUGGUUUGUUGAGGGACACAUUGGCAUAUCAUGGUUGUGCAGAACUUUUUCAGGA